rnacentral:tRNA from 1 species
GGGCCGUUAGCUCAGGAGGCAGAGCACCGGCCUUUUAAGCCGGGCGUCGCAGGUUCGAAUCCUGCACGGCUCACCA